rnacentral:rRNA from 1 species
AGAGUUUGAUCCUGGCUCAGGACGAGCGCUGGCGGCGUGCUUAACACAUGCAAGUCGAACGCUGAAGCCCAGCUUGCUGGGUGGAUGUGUGGCGAACGGGUGAGUAACACGUGGGUAAUCUGCCCUGUACUCUGGGAUAAGCCUGGGAAACUGGGUCUAAUACCGGAUAGGACCAUUGCAGGCAUCUGUGGUGGUGGAAAGCUUUGGCGGUAUGGGAUGGGCCCGCGGCCUAUCAGCUUGUUGGUGGGGUGAUGGCCUACCAAGGCGGUGACGGGUAGCCGGCCUGAGAGGGCGACCGGCCACACUGGGACUGAGACACGGCCCAGACUCCUACGGGAGGCAGCAGUGGGGAAUAUUGCACAAUGGGCGGAAGCCUGAUGCAGCGACGCCGCGUGAGGGAUGACGGCCUUCGGGUUGUAAACCUCUUUCGCCAGGGACGAAGGGUGACUGACGGUACCUGGAGAAGAAGCACCGGCUAACUACGUGCCAGCAGCCGCGGUAAUACGUAGGGUGCGAGCGUUGUCCGGAAUUAUUGGGCGUAAAGAGCUCGUAGGCGGUGUGUCACGUCGGCCGUGAAAACUCCAGGCUUAACUUGGGGCUUGCGGUCGAUACGGGCAUCACUUGAGUUCGGUAGGGGAGACUGGAAUUCCUGGUGUAGCGGUGGAAUGCGCAGAUAUCAGGAGGAACACCGGUGGCGAAGGCGGGUCUCUGGGCCGAUACUGACGCUGAG